GACGAACGCUGGCGGCGUGCCUAAUACAUGCAAGUUGAGCGAUGAAGAUUGGUGCUUGCACCAAUUUGAAGAGCAGCGAACGGGUGAGUAACGCGUGGGGAAUCUGCCUUUGAGCGGGGGACAACAUUUGGAAACGAAUGCUAAUACCGCAUAACAACUUUAAACAUAAGUUUUAAGUUUGAAAGAUGCAAUUGCAUCACUCAAAGAUGAUCCCGCGUUGUAUUAGCUAGUUGGUGAGGUAAAGGCUCACCAAGGCGAUGAUACAUAGCCGACCUGAGAGGAUGAUCAGCCACAUUGGGACUGUGACACGGCCCAAACUCCUGCAGGAGGCAGCAGUAGGGAAUCUUCGGCCAUGGACGAAAGUCUGACCGAGCAACGCCGCGUGAGUAAAGAAGGUUUUCGGAUCGUAAAACUCUGUUGGUAGAGAAGAACGUUGGUGAGAGUGGAAAGCUCAUCAAGUGACGGUAACUACCCAGAAAGGGACGGCUAACUACGUG
rnacentral:rRNA from 1 species